rnacentral:rRNA from 1 species
ACUACGGGAGGCAGCAGUGGGGAAUAUUGCACAAUGGGGGAAACCCUGAUGCAGCGACGCCGCGUGAGUGAAGAAGUAUCUCGGUACGUAAAGCUCUAUCAGCAGGGAAGAUAAUGACGGUAUCUGACCAAGAAGCCCCGGCUAACUACGUGCCAGCAGCCGCGGUAAUACGUAGGGGGCAAGCGUUAUCCGGAUUUACUGGGCGUAAAGGGAGCGUAGACGGCAGCACAAGUCUGGAGUGACAUCCCGGGGCUUAACCCCGGAACGGCGUUGGAAACUGUGCGGCUGGAGGGCAGGAGGGGUAAGCGGAAUGCCUAGUGUAGCGGUGAACGGCGUAGAUAUUAGGAGGAACACCGGUGGCGAAGGCGGCUUACUGGACUGUAACUGACGUUGAGGCACGAAAGCGUGGGUAUCGAACAGGAUUAGAUACCCGGGUAGUC